GUGAUGCAUUGACAGGGAGCAGAUGGUCUCCCGCCGAGGAGAGAAUGACAAACAUCUUCUCAGGUGAUCUCAGCUCUCUGCUUUUUAGAUAUCUACCUUACAAGCGGGAGUACAGGGCUCUGCCCAGUGACCCUGCAUGGCUGUCCUGUCCUUCGUGUUCAGGCUUUUACGAGACUGAAUCCACACUGGAGAACUGAGACAGUCACUUUACUGCACAGCUGCCUAAGACUCAGGAUGGUACAGAUUUGCUGGCCUCAGAGGCAGAAGUUGGCUGCCAUCCUCACCAGCAAGUCCCUAAGGGGCAGAACCCAAACCUUUGUGAAGACCAGGGGGAUUUGGGAUUCAGGUGAUGAACGCCAGUCUCUGAAGGGCCGCGGCGGCGGCGAGGUGCGGAGACGGGCCGCCUUUCUGCUGAGGAGGAGGAAGAGGAAGAAGAGCUCCUCCGCCGGCCGAGGAGCGCAGCGCCUUCCCCGGGGCCCGGGCUCCCCCGCCGGACACCCGCUCCGCCGGGGCGCAGUCCGCGCAGUGCAAAGGCCGGCCGGCCCCCCCCCCCCCCCGCAGUGCAAAGGCCGGCCGGUCUCCGGAGCCGCCCCGACUGUGCCCGCCCGCCGAGAGACGUGCCCGCACCGCCCUCCGACGGCAGGGGAGCUGGAAACGCAACAAGUUCUUUUUCCGCGUGGAUUUUUGUCUCUCUGUGUGUGAUCUGGUUUUGUGUGGUGGUUUUUUUUUUUUGGUUUUUGUGUGUUGUUUUUUUCCCUUUUGCAACUGUCCUGUAACAAUAAAAGAGAGAGGAGAUCAGAACUGCGCCGGGACCAGUGCAGCGUCCGGCCGAGGAGCCGCUCCCCCCCCCCCCCCCCCCCCCCCCCCCCCCCCCCCCCCCCCCCCCCCCCCCCCCCCCCCCCCCCCCCCCCCCCCCCCCCCCCCCCCCCC
rnacentral:lncRNA from 1 species